rnacentral:rRNA from 1 species
AUUGAACGCUGGCGGCAGGCUUAACACAUGCAAGUCGAGCGGAGAGAGGUAGCUUGCUACCGAUCUUAGCGGCGGACGGGUGAGUAAUGCUUAGGAAUCUGCCUAUUAGUGGGGGACAACAUUUCGAAAGGAAUGCUAAUACCGCAUACGUCCUACGGGAGAAAGCAGGGGAUCUUCGGACCUUGCGCUAAUGGAUGAGCCUAAGUCGGAUUAGCUAGUUGGUGGGGUAAAGGCCUACCAAGGCGACGAUCUGUAGCGGGUCUGAGAGGAUGAUCCGCCACACUGGGACUGAGACACGGCCCAGACUCCUACGGGAGGCAGCAGUGGGGAAUAUUGGACAAUGGGCGCAAGCCUGAUCCAGCCAUGCCGCGUGUGUGAAGAAGGCCUUAUGGUUGUAAAGCACUUUAAGCGAGGAGGAGGCUACUUUAGUUAAUACCUAGAGAUAGUGGACGCUACUCGCAGAAUAAGCACCGGCUAACUCUGUGCCAGCCGCCGCAGUAAAAC